rnacentral:lncRNA from 1 species
CAGUCCCUUUUCCCCUAUAAAAUCCUCACUCUCUCUCAUUAAUUUCCUCACCCCGAUCACAAUUCUGCUUAACCCAUUUCUUAUUCAAGUACCAAAAAAUGGCAGGAAUCAUUCACAAGAUAGAGGAGAAACUCCACAUUGGAGGCCACAAGGAAGGAGAGAAAGACAAACACCAUGAGGCUGAUAAGCACAAGGAAGAAGAGAAGCACAAAAAGGAUCACGGCCAUAGCAGCGGAGAGCACAAGGAAGGGAUUGUUGAGAAGAUAAAGGAAAAGAUCCAUGGAGAAGAAGGCGGAGAGCACCAUCACAAGGAAGGAGAGGAGAAGAAGAAGAAAAAGGACAAAAAGGACAAAAAGGAGAAGAAGCACGAUGGGCAUGACAGCAGCAGCAGCGACAGCGAUAGCGAUUAGAUCUAAUCCUCGAUCCCUAAAUAAUGAUCCUUCCUUAUUAGCCUUUCUCCAAUGUAUUUCCUACUGCUUUCUGAUAUAGAUCUAUCUUCCUUACCACUUAGCAGUUGCUUGUAUGUUUUAUUGGAAUGUAAUUAACGUUUGAAUCGCUUGCUGUAUACCAU